rnacentral:lncRNA from 1 species
GAUUUAGAUUUUAGGAUUUAUCUAGGAUUUGGGAUUUAGGAUUUGACUAGAAAUUAGAAUUUAAGAUUUGAUUAAGAUUUGGUUUGGAUUUGAUAAGAAUUAAGGUUUAGAAUUUGAGUUUAGAAUUUAAGUGUAGGAUUUAGAUUUAGAAUUUAGGAUUUGAAUAGAAUUUUGAAUUUAUGAUUUGAAUAGGAUUUAGAAUUUAGGAUUAAAGAUUUAACUAAGAUUUUUAGUUUAGGAUUUAGGAUUUAGAAUUUGAUUAGGAUUUAGAAUUUAGGAUUUGACUAGGAUUUAGAAUUUGAAUAAGAUUUGAAUAAGAUUUGAUUAGAAUUUAAUUAGAGUUAGAUUUAAGUUUAUUUGAGAUUUACUUAAAGUGUCUUAAAUAUUAUCUAAGGAUUAUUUUAAAAUUCAUUAAAAUAUAAUAAG